rnacentral:rRNA from 1 species
AGUGAACGCUGGCGGUAGGCCUAACAUAUGCAAGUCGAACGGCAGCACAGUAAGAGCUUGCUCUUACGGGUGGCGAGUGGCGGACGGGUGAGGAAUACAUCGGAAUCUACUUUUUCGUGGGGGAUAACGUAGGGAAACUUACGCUAAUACCGCAUACGACCUACGGGUGAAAGCAGGGGAUCUUCGGACCUUGCGCGAUUGAAUGAGCCGAUGUCGGAUUAGCUAGUUGGCGGGGUAAAGGCCCACCAAGGCGACGAUCCGUAGCUGGUCUGAGAGGAUGAUCAGCCACACUGGAACUGAGACACGGUCCAGACUCCUACGAGAGGCAGCAGUGGGGAAUAUUGGACAAUGGGCGCAAGCCUGAUCCAGCCAUACCGCGUGGGUGAAGAAGGCCUUCGGGUUGUAAAGCCCUUUUGUUGGGAAAGAAAAGCAGCAGGUUAAUACCCCGCUGUUCUGACGGUACCCAAAGAAUAAGCACCGGCUAACUUCGUG